rnacentral:rRNA from 1 species
GCCAGACUCCUACGGGAGGCAGCAGUGAGGAAUAUUGGUCAAUGGCCGAGAGGCUGAACCAGCCAAGUCGCGUGAGGGAAGAAUGUCCUAAGGAUUGUAAACCUCUUUUGUCGGGGAGCAAAAAGGCUCUGCGGAGUCGUAUUGAGAGUACCCGAAGAAAAAGCAUCGGCUAACUCCGUGCCAGCAGCCGCGGUAAUACGGAGGAUGCGAGCGUUAUCCGGAUUUAUUGGGUUUAAAGGGUGCGCAGGCGGCGCGUUAAGCCUGGUGUGAAAGCCCGCGGCGCAACCGCGGGACUGCAUUGGGAACUGGCGCGCUGGAGUGCCGGAGGGGUAGGCGGAAUUCCUAGUGUAGCGGUGAAAUGCGUAGAUAUUAGGAGGAACACCAGUGGCGAAGGCGGCCUACUGGACGGUGACUGACGGUGAGGCGCGAAAGCGUGGGUAUCGAACAGGAUUAGAUACCCGCGUACC